AUGGCCUCGAUGGGUGGGGACCCAAGGCAGAUGAUGGAGGAUGCGGCGGAGGACAAGUUCCCGGAGGGGUUACGCGUCCUCGCCGUGGACGACGACAGCGUCUGCCUCAAGGUGCUGGAGGACCUCUUGCGCGGGUGCAAAUACCACCCAACGACGGUGAUGGAUGCAAAGACGGCGCUGAAGAUGCUCAGGGCGGGGAAGGAGGUGUUCGACCUGGUCAUCACCGACGUGCGCAUGCCGGACAUGGACGGCUUCAAGCUCCUCGAGCUCAUCCGCCUCGAGAUGGAUCUGCCCGUCAUCAGUACACUCACUGCUCAAUUCUAA
rnacentral:rRNA from 1 species